rnacentral:lncRNA from 1 species
CUAAUGUUUGCAGGUACUAAUAAAGAAAGGACGGGUGCUAAAUGAAUUGAAGAGGGCUAAACAGUGGGCUGAUGUGCUGCCAAACUUGGGCCGUAGCUGUUGCAUAUGGAGAACGCUGUUCAGAUUGAGAUGUUGGACUGUUGCAAGCAAAGCCUGCUGGGUUGAGUACUCAUUAGUGAAACGCUGCGUUCUACACUGUUGCUGCCAUAGGGGUCUUUUCGCACUCGUUCUCAUUCAUUUUCAUUUGCAAAAGCUGCCNGAGAAAUUCAUUUUGAAGGAAAAAGAGAGAACACAGAGUUAGGGCAAAGAGCGAAGAGGAAAACGUGUGAGAAAAAGAGAGCUCUAGGGUUCAUGAAACUUACCCAGAGAAGAAGCAUUACCUGCCCAGAAGAAGAUGACCGAAGCCUCCAAGGCCCAAGAAGAAGCCAGCCCAAGAAAUUAAUCGGACCAGAAGGAUGAUUGGAGCUGAUUAGAAGUUGACGGUUGAAGGCGCGAAGCAGUUGAUUCAGAGAAGUUCGUCAAGAAUAGUUUGCGAAUAUUCCAAGUUUAUUCGGUUCAUCUCCUUUCCCCUAUUUCUUUCCCUCUUCCUAUUCUUUUCUGUUUUGGAUUUUUCCCUAUAAAAAAGGAGUUUUGUAAUGAGAAUAGUACGUGCACUGGGUGACAGGCAGUGUGCUCUAGACUCUCAGUUCCAAUUUUCUCGCUUUAGUUUUAGGUUUUACAGUUUUCGUAGAGAGUAGUACUUUGCUUUGCUGAUGUCUUUGAUCUCUCCAUUGGGUGACAGACGAUGGAAUCUUGGACUCUGGUAUUCUGUAUUCUUCAUUUCAGAUUUUAAUUCGAAGUUUAUGUUUUCGUUUGAUCCAGUUUACAUUGCCUUUCAAUUUCAUUUACAUUCCCUGCAGUUGCGUUUACUGUUUUAGCAAUU